AUUUAUUUGGGAUGAGGAAAGGAAACUGAGGACAGGGUACAGGAGUAAUAGCAAUUCCCUGUAGCUCUCAAAGCAAAUUUUGAGCUCAUUUUUCUUUUUCUGCAAGCUCAGCAGCAGAAUGCCCAGAGUCUUCCCUGGUAGAUGCAGCAGAAUGCCCAGAGUCUUCCCUGGUAGAUGCAGCAGAAUGCCCAGAGUCUUCCCUGGUAGAUGCAGGUUCCAUAGCGACGUUCUCCUGCAAUGCACGCUGGUAUUCUGCAAUAGCAGUCCAUGUUUUUCCUUGAGCCUGGGACAGGGAGAGCAUGAGAAAUUGAGUAUGGAGUUA
rnacentral:lncRNA from 1 species